rnacentral:rRNA from 1 species
UGCAACCUGAGCUCAGUCGUGACUACCCGCUGAACUUAAGCAUAUCACGCUUAGCGGAGGAAAAAAACUAA